rnacentral:tRNA from 1 species
GCGGGGGUGGCUCAGUAGUAAGAGCGCGACUUUACCUACCAGAAGGCUCGUGGUUCGAACCCGACCUCUGCC